rnacentral:rRNA from 1 species
AUUGAACGCUGGCGGCAGGCCUAACACAUGCAAGUCGAGCGGAUGAAGGGAGCUUGCUCCUGGAUUCAGCGGCGGACGGGUGAGUAAUGCCUAGGAAUCUGCCUGGUAGUGGGGGAUAACGUCCGGAAACGGGCGCUAAUACCGCAUACGUCCUGAGGGAGAAAGUGGGGGAUCUUCGGACCUCACGCUAUCAGAUGAGCCUAGGUCGGAUUAGCUAGUUGGUGGGGUAAAGGCCUACCAAGGCGACGAUCCGUAACUGGUCUGAGAGGAUGAUCAGUCACACUGGAACUGAGACACGGUCCAGACUCCUACGGGAGGCAGCAGAGGGGAAUAUUGGACAAAGGGCGAAAGCCUGAUCCAGCCAUGCCGCGUGUGUGAAGAAGGUCUUCGGAUUGUAAAGCACUUUAAGUUGGGAGGAAGGGCAGUAAGUUAAUACCUUGCUGUUUUGACGUUACCAACAGAAUAAGCACCGGCUAACUUCGUG